rnacentral:sRNA from 1 species
GAUGGCUGACGACAACCCUGACAGCGACUCCACGCCGCGCACGCUGCUGCGACGCGUGCUGGAUACAGCGGACCCGCGCACCCCGCGGCGACCCCGGAGUGCUCGGGCUGGAGCCCGGAGAGCCCUGCUUGAAACGGCUUCCUCCAGGAGGUUGAGUGGCCAAACAAGGACGAUAGCCAGAGGGCGUUCCCAUGGAGCCAGGUCUAUUGGCAGAUCGGCCCAUAUUCAGGCCAGUGGGCACUUGGAGGAACAGACACCUCGGACGCUGCUGAAGAACAUCCUACUAACUGCCCCAGAAUCUUCCAUCCUGAUGCCUGAGUCGGUAGUGAAGCCAGUGCCAGCACGGCAGGUGGUCCAACCCUCCAGACAAGAGAGCAGUUGCGGCAGGUCUGCUGGCCCCUGGCAGGAGGAAACAGAGGCUGAGACUGUCAAUGUUUCAGCAGGGAGUGGACCAGGGGUUGUCUCUCUCCCAAGAGCCUCAAGGGAAUGCUGAUGCCUCUU